rnacentral:rRNA from 1 species
CAAGUCGAACGGGCUUUCCUUCGGGGGAGCCAGUGGCAGACGGCUGAGUAAGACAUGCGUGACCGAUCCUUGUGUGGGGGACAACUCCGCGAAAGCGGGGCUAAUACCGCGUACGUCCAUUGGAGUAGUGUCUGAUGGAGAAAGCCGCAAGGCGCACGAGGGCGGGCGGAUGGCCCAUCAGGUAGUUGGGGGGGUAACGGCUUCCCAAGCCACUGACGGGUAGCUGGUCUGAGAGGAUGACCAGCCAGACUGGGACUGUGACACGGCCCAGACUCCUACGGGAGGCAGCAGUUAGGAAUCUUGCGCAAUGGACGAAAGUCUGACGCAGCGACGCCGCGUGGGGGAUGACGGUCUUCGGAUUGUAAACCCCUUUUGCCCGGGACGAGGAAGGACGGUACCGGGCGAAUCAGCCCCGGCUAACUACGUGCCAGCAGCCGCGGUAAUACGUAGGGGGCAAGCGUUGUCCGGAUUUACUGGGCGUAAAGGGCGCGUAGGCGGCCUGGUUUGUCGGGGGUGAAAGGUCCGGGCUUAACCUGGACAGGUCUCUCGAAACGGCCAGGCUGUGAGGGCGGUAGAGGCUGGUGGAAUUCCGGGUGUAGUGGUGAAAUGCGUAAAGAUCCGGAAGAACACCGGUGGCGAAAGCGGCCAGCUGGGCCGGCCCUGACGCUUAAGCGCGAAAGCGUGGGGAGCGAACUGAAUUAGAUACUCAGGUAGUCCACGCCCUAAACGCUUGACACUAGGUGUGGGGGGGGGUAUCGACCCCUCCCGUGCCCGAGCUAACGCAGUAAGUGUCCCGCCUGGGGAGUACGGCCGCAAGGCUAAAACUCAAAGGAAUUGACGGGGGCCC